AACGUAGGAGGCAAAGCGUUAUCCGGAGUUACUGGGCGUAAAGGGCGUGUAGGUGGUAUCGUAAGUCUGGCGUGAAAUUUCUCGGCUUAACCGAGGCAGGUCGUCGGAUACUGCGUAGGCUAGAGGACGGUAGAGGCGUGUGGAAUUCCGGGUGUAGCGGUGGAAUGCGUAGAGAUCGGGAAGAACAUCAGUGGCGAAGGCGGUCUGCUGGGCCGUUGCUGACGCUGAGGCGCGACAGCGUGGGGAGCAAACAGG
rnacentral:rRNA from 1 species